AUUGAACGCUGGCGGCAUGCUUUACACAUGCAAGUCGAACGGUAACAGGGUGCUUGCACCGCUGACGAGUGGCGAACGGGUGAGUAAUGCGUCGGAACGUGCCGAGUAGUGGGGGAUAACGCAUCGAAAGGUGUGCUAAUACCGCAUACGUACUGAGGUAGAAAGUGGGGGACCUUCGGGCCUCACGCUAUUAGAGCGGCCGACGUCUGAUUAGCUAGUUGGUGAGGUAAAGGCUCACCAAGGCGACGAUCAGUAGCGGGUCUGAGAGGAUGAUCCGCCACACUGGUACUGAGACACGGCCCAGACUCCUACGGGAGGCAGCAGUGGGGAAUUUUGGACAAUGGGCGCAAGCCUGAUUCAGCCAUGCCGCGUGUCUGAAGAAGGCCUUCGGGUUGUAAAGGACUUUUGUCCGGGAGCAAAUACCCAGUGCUAAUAACGCUGGGGGCUGAGAGUACCGGAAGAAUAGGCACCGGCUAACUACGUGCCAGCCGCCGCAGUAAUAC
rnacentral:rRNA from 1 species